AAAGGUCUUAAUAUUUAGGGAAAACUUCAAAGACUCCCAUAUGGUUUCGCUCUUUUUUAUUUUAGUACCCUGUGAUUUAAAGUGUAUCAAGUUAGUACCCUGUGGUUUUGCACUUUCUCACUUUAGUAUCUUGUGGUUUAAAGUGUAUCAAGUUAAUACUCUAUGGUUUUAUUUUUGUAUCAAGUUAGUAGCCUAUGAUUUUUAAACCACAGGGACUAAAGUAAAAAAGUGUGAAAUCACAGAGUUCUAAAGUGAGAAAAUGCGAAACCACAGGGUACUAAAUUGAUACACUUUAAACCAUAGGGUACUAAAGUGAAAAAGUGCAAAAUCACAUGGUACUAACUUGAUCCACUUUAAACCACAAAGUAAUAAAGUGAGAAUGAGUGAAACCAUAAGGGGGUAUUUGAAGUUUUUCCUAAUCUUUAUGAUGAUUUGAUAGAAUAAUAUAUUUCAUAUCUGAAGCCAUUUAUAUUAUUUCAAAAAAUAAAU
rnacentral:lncRNA from 1 species